rnacentral:rRNA from 1 species
CAAGUGAAGAGUUUGAUCCUGGCUCAGAAUGAACGCUGGCGGCGUGGCUAAAACAUGCAAGUCGGACGCGAACGUUCUCUUCGGAGAACUAUUAGAGUGGCGAAAGGGCGAGGAAUACACGGGU